UACAGAGGUCCCGAGCGUUGUUCGGAUUCAUUGGGCGUAAAGGGUGCGUAGGCGGUUUUCUAAGUUUGAUGUGAAAUCCCGGGGCUCAACCCUGGAAUUGCAUUGAAUACUGGGAGACUAGAGUACUGGAGAGGAAACUGGAAUUUACGGUGUAGCAGUGAAAUGCGUAGAGAUCGUAAGGAAGACCAGUGGCGAAGGCGAGUUUCUGGACAGUUACUGACGCUGAGGCACGAAGGCCAGGGGAGCAAACGGGG
rnacentral:rRNA from 1 species